UCCAAUAACAAAAUAGGCCUUCUGUGUGAUGAUAAUACCAUCUACUAAUACCAUUUUGUGUUCUGCUUCGAUGUGUGUAUAGAAAACUGACAGAGACACUAGUGCGAUGGUUGGCUGUGGUCCCUGGGUGGCAGUGUUGAGCCUGUUCUGCCUGCUCUCAGCAGGCCGACUUGAGGAAGGUCAGUCAAAGAUGCCUAUGUGGAUAAAGCUGUUCUGCCAUUACUCCACAGAUUUGUAAAGUUUCCUGCGGAGCGGAGGAAAUCAAGGUGAAGAGGGUGGGGAGGAACUCUAGGUGGAACUCUAGGUGGAGGGGGUGGGGAGGAACUCUAGGUGGAGAGGGUGGGGAUGAACUCUAGGUGGAGGGGGUGGGGAGGAACUCUAGGUGGAGAGGGUGGGGAUGAACUCUAGGUGGGGGGGUGAACUCAGGGACAAAAACAGUAGCAGACUGGAAAUUUACACGUCUCCAGACCAACACCCUCAUUUAUCUGUCCACAGUUGAGCUGACAGGUGAAUCUGUACAAACCCUGAGAGCAGGAUUUGAAGUCUGGAUAUCUUUCCUUCAUUUAGCUAACAAAAGGUUUUUAUUGUUCCUUUCAGAGUGAUCAAAUAGAGGAAAAGACAGCAUGUGUAACACAGGUUUACUAAACUAGGCCAUUACAGUGAAGCCUAGCUAAUCACACAUAAGCUCCCCCUAGAGGCUAAAUCUAUUUACUACCUCAGACUACAUCACCCAACUUCCACACAUAACUCCAGUUGACUUAGAAUACCCAAACACAAAAAUGCACGACUAAAACACUUAGAAACAAUACACUGAGAAAGAAAACUACAAUCCUUUUUUUU
ensembl:lncRNA